GACGGAGGAUGCAAGUGUUGUUCGGAAUCACUGGGCGUAAAGGGAGUGUAGGCGGUUCGGUAAGUGGGAUGUGAAAUGCCCCGGCUCACCCGGGGACCUGCAUCCCAUACUGCUGAGCUUGAGUACAGGAGAGGGUGGGGGAAUUCCAGGUGUAGCGGUGAAAUGCGUAGAUAUCUGGAGGAGCACCGGUGGCGAAGGCGCCCACCUGGCCUGCUACUGACGCUGAGGCUCGAAAGCUAGGGGAGCAAACGGG
rnacentral:rRNA from 1 species